rnacentral:lncRNA from 1 species
ACAAGGAUAUUCAGUGAACGAAAAAACUAUAUCCAGAGUAACAUAAUCAAAAACAAAACAGAGAUAAUCGAUGAAAUGAACAUAAAUAAUUCUCAAAUAAAGCUAAGAAAUCAACCCAGCAUGUGCCUCUGCUAUGAUGACACAUUUCGUAUAAUCAUCCCAGUAUUUCUUUUUUUUUUAAGUAAUACUUGUAACAUAAUUAACUCAGUAUAAAGUAGAGAGAUUGGACUUUUGGAGCAUACUUAAUUAACUCAGUAUAAAGUAGAGAGAUUGGACUUUUGGAGCAUACUUAAUUAACUCAGUAUAAAAUAGAGGGAUUGGACUUUUGGAGCAUAUUUGGUUUCCGGUAAUUGUUUAAAAGGAUCGACUCUCCAGCAUCUUGUUUCAUCAACCAAAUCAGCUUGCUCUAGUGAUGCAAUUAGAAAAGAAUAAAGAUGUAGAAGAAACUGUAGGAUUAGGAGAUCGAGGAGUUUGGUGAUAUUGUUCUACUGUACCUAAUCAACUUUUGAGGUGAGGGGAGCCAAACUUGGAGAUGGAAGGAUCAACUGAUAGUAAAAUCUCUGUUAUUCUAUCAAUAAGUACCUAGCCAAGAGAGAUGCAAUGGACUUUCUCCUUUACAUCAGCAUUAACAGCUGCAAGUAAUGUGGGUCCUUCUGUCUCGUGCAUGCACCUCCUUGCCUCUGAGUUAAGAGUCCAAAGGUCAACCUUUGGAUGUUGUCAAGUGGCACUUUGGUUAUGAAGGUUGAUUAAAUCAGUUGGUACAUUCCCUCCAACUCAUCAAUAUUAAUAAGAUGUUAUGACUGCUUAGACAGGGUUGAUUUAGACAGAAGACAUAGUUUCGUGGAUUCACUGAUUAGUUAUCAUAAUUGUAUAUAUUUUGUAUCCAAGUAAUUUUUUCAAGAAAACAAAUAUUUUGUGCACAGGUGAUAUUUGAGGUGUAUAUAUAAUUGGAAGGGUGCUGUAAGAAAGGAACUCUCUCGCAAAGGGCUCCUAUUCAGUGGAUGACCUAGGAUUUCCAUUGAGGGGGUUGAAAAAAAAAACAUGCUAAUAGUGCGGACACAGAUCGGUUCAAAUAUGAAAAGGUCGGAUCAAAUAUAUAUAUAUAUAACAAAGAAGAAGAGGUUUUAUGUGGAGCAAUGAGCUUUUAAGUCAGAAUUCCAAUAUCAAAGUUAAACACUAUUUUCUUGAUUUGUGGGCUUUGAUCACCAUUGAAUUUUUCUCUUGGUACUAUAAAAAAAAUAGUUUGAUAAGCAUUCACUCAAACUCUAUUCUAACAAUUACACAAUCCGAAAAAUAGGGUCAUAGGGAUGUAAAUAUGGAGGGUUAGGAUUGGUGGGGCAAGCCAAAAAUGGAAGCUUUUAUACAAAUAAACCAGUAAACAACAAAUACCAGCAUGUCAGCAGCAGCAACCAGCAAGAAACACAAUCCAAAGUGAACGAGAAGAGAGAGCAAAAAGGGGAAAGAGCGCAAGAGACCAAGAAAGCGUCAGAUAGGAUUUUUUAAUUUUUUUGACUUUGUAAUUAGGGAUGUGAUAUAAAUCGAGACUGUCUUUUUUUCCAGAAAACGAGGCCGUUUCAUUUAUGUAGAAAAAAAUACAAAAAGCCUAAAGCUAAAUAUUGAAAAAUUGAUGCCGGCAAGAUUCGAACCUGCGCGUUCCUGCUAAUCCCUCAACCCCUUAGCUACUGAACCAUGUCCUUGACUUGUGUUGAGGGGUUUCAACAUUAAAUAAAUACACAUAAAAUAAAAGUUUGAUCCUAUAUAUCCGCCCUGCUCCUUAUCGUAUACCCCUUUGUACAGGGGAUCUUCCCAUUGUCUACUAGAUAUAUUUUAUCAACCUCACUAAUGCAAUUCCUUUUACAAAUAUAUAUUUCAUCUUACAUCAUGUUGCUCCUUUUCUUCUGUUAUAGAAUGAACAGAAAUUACUCCUAGUAAUGUACAUAGCCAUAUUUAGGCAGCAGAUCUAUAGAAAUGCUCUUUUAUUUCUUUUUAAGUCAGCACACAAUCUAUUGUAUUUAUACAUUGCUUACCUACUGGAAUAAGAUAUUUUCUUCCACUUGAUUACAUGGUAUCAGAGCCAUAGGGCAAGGGCUCGAUUCAUAUACAAAAUUGGGAAUUCGUCCACAGUUAUUGGAUAAAGGGAUUCGAUCAUUUGGGACACCUCUAGGGAGUGACUGGAUUGUCCUCUAUUAUCUUGUCACCCAUAUUAAAUCAACCAAAGUUGACCUUUAAUUUGAUUUCUAUUAGCAGAGUUACUAGAGACCUGAAUUGGUAUAUCUUGUCUCUUCCUGGAUCAUUAUUUGUUUCGUGAUCUUACAACAAAUCAGGUUAUUGGUAAAGGACAUUUAUCACAUGAUCUCUAUCAUGGUCUAUUGCCUGUUCUAUUGUCGUCUUCUUCCUCCAAGACCAUCCUGUGGUUGAUUCCAGCACUCUCAACACCAGAACUCCUUGAGAACUGCUCUGGCGUGUGAUAACCAGUUCCAUCUUGUGACAUCCCUGAAAAUUUUGGAGUAGAGAGAUUUACUAAAUCUAUCCUUGAGUUAUCCUGAAGACAGCUUGAAACAGACAACAGAGCUUUUCUCACAGUUGAAAGGGUUCCAGCAAUCUGCACACAAGGAUAUUCAGUGAACGAAAAAACUAUAUCCAGAGUAACAUAAUCAAAAACAAAACAGAGAUAAUCGAUGAAAUGAACAUAAAUAAUUCUCAAAUAAAGCUAAGAAAUCAACCCAGCAUGUGCCUCUGCUAUGAUGACACAUUUCGUAUAAUCAUCCCAGUAUUUCUUUUUUUUUUAAGUAAUACUUGUAACAUAAUUAACUCAGUAUAAAGUAGAGAGAUUGGACUUUUGGAGCAUACUUAAUUAACUCAGUAUAAAAUAGAGGGAUUGGACUUUUGGAGCAUAUUUGGUUUCCGGUAAUUGUUUAAAAGGAUCGACUCUCCAGCAUCUUGUUUCAUCAACCAAAUCAGCUUGCUCUAGUGAUGCAAUUAGAAAAGAAUAAAGAUGUAGAAGAAACUGUAGGAUUAGGAGAUCGAGGAGUUUGGUGAUAUUGUUCUACUGUACCUAAUCAACUUUUGAGGUGAGGGGAGCCAAACUUGG